rnacentral:rRNA from 1 species
CUCGUGCCGGCCACGUGGGUGGUGUGCGCAUCAGCACCAUGGUCGUGCAGCCUGGCAAGGCCGAAGUCACCCAGCCGACCAUUCAUCUCCCCAUCCAGGAGCACGUUGCUGGCCUUGACGUCACGGUGUAUGAUGACUUGUUCCCAGUCCUCAUGGAGGUACAGAAGCCCGGACGCAACGCCUUUGAUGAUCUGAAGCCUCUGA